AUUGAACGCUGGCGGCAUGCUUUACACAUGCAAGUCGAACGGUAACAGGCCUUCGGGUGCUGACGAGUGGCGAACGGGCGAGUAAUGCAUCGGAACGUACCCAGCGCUGGGGGAUAACGCAGCGAAAGCUGUGCUAAUACUGCAUGUGAUCUGAGGAUGAACGCGGGGGACCGAGCAGCAAUGUUUGGCCUCGCGCCUUUGGAGCGGCCGAUGUGGGAUUAGAUAGUUGGUGGGGUAAAGACCUACCAAGUCGACGAUCCGUAGCUGGUCUGAGAGGACGACAGGCGACACUAGGACUGGGCCACGGCCCAGACUACUGCGGGAGGGAGCAGUCGGGAAUGUUGGACAACGGGCGCGAGCCUGAUCCAGCAAUGCCGCGUGCGGGAAGAAGGCCUUCGGGUUGUAAACCGCUUUUGGCAGGAACGAAACGGUGUCCGCUAAUACCGGGCGCUAAUGACGGUACCUGCAGAAUAAGCACCGGCUAACUACGUG
rnacentral:rRNA from 1 species